rnacentral:rRNA from 1 species
ACAGAGGGGGCAAGCGUUGUUCGGAAUUACUGGGCGUAAAGGGCGCGUAGGCGGCCUUCUAAGUCGAACGUGAAAUCCCCGGGCUUAACCCGGGAACUGCGUCCGAUACUGGAAGGCUUGAAUCCGGGAGAGGGAUGCGGAAUUCCAGGUGUAGCGGUGAAAUGCGUAGAUAUCGAGAGGAACACCUGCGGCGAAGGCGGGUUGCUGGGCUGACACUGACGCUGAGGCGCGAAAGCUAGGGGAGCGAACGGGA